rnacentral:rRNA from 1 species
UUAAAUUUUAUUUAUUAAUUAUAUAAGUAUAUUUAAACUUAUUUAAUAAAAAUAAUUUUAUAAUUUUUUGUUGUAGUAUUUUUUAAAGAAAAAAUAAUUUUAAUAAUAGUUUAUUAGUAUUGUAAAAGAAAAUUUAAAUAAUUUGAAAAAUUUUUAUUUUAAAAGAAAAUUUUAUUUAUUGUACCUUGUGUAUCAGGGUUUAUUAAUUAAUUAAUUAUUAUAAUAAUUUUUCUCGAAUUUUAAAGAUUUAAUUAUAUAUAAAAGUUAUUGUAGCAUAAAUAUUUUAAAUAUAUAGUUAGAAAUGAAAUGUUAAUCGUUUUAAAAUAUAUCUAGUUUUUUAAGAAAUAAAUUUAAUUUAGAUUUAUAAAUUAAAAAUAUUAUUUUUUUAAUAUUUUUAAUUUAUAAAAUUAAUAUUUUAAGGGAUUAGCUUUAAAAUAAAUUUUUAAAUUUAAAAUAAAAUAUUUAAUAAAUGUAAGCUUAAAAAUAGUUAUCUUUAAUAAAUUUGUUAUAAUUUAUUUUAAUUUUUUAUUAUUUAUUUUUAAAUUAAAUUAUUUAUUAAAAUAUAAAUUUUAAUAAUUAAAAUUUAUUAAUUAUGAUAAAAUUAGUAUAUAAAAUUUGUUUAAAUUAUUUAAUAUGAAAGGUUUAAGUAAGGAAUUCGGCAAAAAAUAUAUUCACCUGUUUAUCAAAAACAUGUCUUUUUGAAUUUAAUUUAAAGUCUAACCUGCCCACUGAUAAUAUUAAAGGGCCGCAGUAUUUUGACUGUGCGAAGGUAGCAUAAUCAAUAGUCUUUUAAUUGGAGGCUUGUAUGAAUGGUUGAAUGAGAUAUAUACUGUCUUUUUUAAAUUUUUAUAGAAUUUUAUUUUUUAAUUAAAAAGUUAAAAUAUAAUUAAAGGACGAGAAGACCCUAUAGAUCUUUAUUUUUGUUAAUUAUAAAUUAAAAAGAAUAAUUAAAUUUAUAUUUUAAUAAAAAAUUUUACUGGGGUGGUAUUAAAAUUUAAAUAACUUUUAUUAUUUAUUUACAUUAAUAUAUGAAUAAUUGAUCCAAUUAUAUUGAUUAAAAAAUUAAGUUACCUUAGGGAUAACAGCGUAAUUUUUUUUUAGAGUUCAUAUCGACAAAAAAGAUUGCGACCUCGAUGUUGGAUUAAGAGUUAUUUUUAGGUGUAGAAGUUUAAAGUUUAGGUCUGUUCGACCUUUGAAUUCUUACAUGAUCUGAGUUCAAACCGGUGUAAGCCAGGUUGGUUUCUAUCCUUAAUUAAAUUAUUAUAUUAUAGUACGAAAGGACCUAAUAUAAAAAAUAUAAAUUUUAAAAUUAUGAUUAAUAUUAAUAUUUAAUAA